UAGAAGGGAUCGAAUAAAGAGUUAAUUUGUAGGAAUAAAUAGAAAUUUAAGGAUAGAAACGCAACAUACGCAUAAGAUCGCUGGAGAUUGAAGUAUGUAUGUAAAAGGUUUGUGAAGAUUAUAGAUUCUGUAGCUACACUUUUGAAACACAUAAUAACAUAAAAUAUUUAAAUCAUUACCAUGCAACUCAAGUUGCCUAGUUGUAAAUGGUGUUAGUAAAAUAAAAGAAUUAUGAUA
rnacentral:lncRNA from 1 species